CAAUGCUACCAAAUACUAAUUGAGUGUAUGUAAACCUCUGAACCACUGGGAAUGUGAUGAAAGAAAAUAAAUGCUGAAAUAAAUCAUUAUCUCUAAUAUUAUUCUGUACAAUAUUGUUCUGUUUAGCUAGAUCUGUACCUCUCCUCCAGUCCCUCCAGUCCUAACCUCUCCUCCAUAAUGUAAUGUGUCCUAGCUGACAGGGGAGGUGUCUCAGUGUCAGCCCAUCAGUAACCUCUCCUCCAUAAUGUAAUGUAUCCUAGCUGACAGGGGAGGUGUCUCAGUGUCAGCCCAUCAGUAACCUCUCCUCCAUAAUGUAAUGUAUCCUAGCUGACAGGGGAGGUGUCUCAGUGUCAGCCCAUCAGUAACCUCUCCUCCAUAAUGUAAUGUAUCCUAGCUGACAGGGGAGGUGUCUCAGUGUCAGCCCAUCAGUAACCUCUCCUCCAUAAUGUAAUGUAUCCUAGCUGACAGGGGAGGUGUCUCAGUGUCAGCCCAUCAGU